AAAAGAAACCAACAGGGAUUGCCUCAGUAACGGCGAGUGAAGCGGCAAUAGCUCAAAUUUGAAAGCUGGCGUCUUCGACGUCCGCGUUGUAAUUUGUAGAGGAUGUUUCGGCGAGGGCUCCUGCCUAAGUUCCCUGGAAUGGGACGUCACAGAGGGUGAGAAUCCCGUAUGUGGCGGGCGGCCUUAGCCAUGUGAAACUCCUUCGACGAGUCGAGUUGUUUGGGAAUGCAGCUCUAAAUGGGAGGUAAAUUUCUUCUAAAGCUAAAUACCGGCCAGAGACCGAUAGCGCACAAGUAGAGUGAUCGAAAGAUGAAAAGCACUUUGGAAAGAGAGUUAAAAAGUACGUGAAAUUGUUGAAAGGGAAGCGCUUGCAACCAGACUCGUUCGCAGUUGCUCAGCCCGCCUCUUGGUGGGUGUACUCUUCUGCGGUCGGGCCAGCAUCAGUUCGGGCGGUCGGAUAAAGGUGUCGGGAAUGUAGCACCCUUCGGGGUGUGUUAUAGCCCGGCGCGGAAUGCGGCCAGCCUGGACUGAGGAUCUCGCUUCGGCAAGGAUGCUGGCGUAAUGGUUGUAAGCGGCCCGUCUUGAAACACGGACCAAGGAGUCUAACAUCUAUGCGAGUGUUUGGGUGUCAAACCCAUGCGCGUAAUGAAAGUGAACGGAGGUGGGAACCCGCAAGGGUGCACCAUCGACCGAUCCUGAUGUCUUCGGAUGGAUUUGAGUAAGAGCAUAGCUGUUGGGACCCGAAAGAUGGUGAACUAUGCCUGAAUAGGGUGAAGCCAGAGGAAACUCUGGUGGAGGCUCGCAGCGGUUCUGACGUGCAAAUCGAUCGUCAAAUUUGGGUAUAGGGGCGAAAGACUAAUCGAACCAUCUAGUAGCUGG
rnacentral:rRNA from 1 species